rnacentral:rRNA from 1 species
GCAUGUUUUUGACAUUUGAAAAAUGGACUGCUCAGUAAUACUCACUUUAUUUUAUGUAAAUUUUUAAUUAACUACGUUAAAGUGUAGAUAAGAUGUUUACAGUAAGAGUGAGACCUAUCAGCUAGUUGUUAAGGUAAUGGCUUAACAAGGCUGUGACGGGUAACGGUAUUACUUUGUAAUAUUCCGGAGAAGGAGCCUGAGAGACGGCUACUAAGUCUAAGGAUUGCAGCAGGGGCGAAACUUGACCUAUGGAUUUUAUCUGAGGCAGUUAUGGGAAGUAAUAUUAUAUUGUUUCAUAUUUUAAAAGUAUAUGAGGUGAUUAAUUGGAGGGCAAAUCAAGUGCCAGCAGCCGCGGUAAUACUUGUUCCAAGAGUGUGUAUGAUGAUUGAUGCAGUUAAAAAGUCCGUAGUUUAUUUUUUUAAGAGGCAAUAUGAGGUGUACUGUAUAGUUGGGAGAAAGAUGAAAUGUGACGACCCUGACUGGACGAACAGAAGCGAAAGCUGUACACUUGUAUGUAUUUUUUGAACAAGGACGUAAGCUGGAGGAGCGAAGAUGAUUAGAUACCAUUGUAGUUCCAGCAGUAAACCAUGCCGACGAUGUGAUAUCGAAAUGUUAAUUUGUAUUACAUAAUAGAAAUUUGAGUUUUUUGGCUCUGGGGAUAGUAUGAUCGCAAGAUUGAAAAUUAAAGAAAUUGACGGAAGAAUACCACAAGGAGUGGAUUGUGCGGCUUAAUUUGACUCAACGC